CGUCAAGAUAUGAAGGGCACAUGGUGGAUGCCUUGGCACCUGGAGUCGAAGAAGGGCGUGAACGACUGCGAUAAGCCACGGGUAGGCGUUGAAUAGCCAUUGAUCCGUGGAUUCCCGAAUGGGGAAACCCAGCGCCGGUAGUGCGGCGUUACCGCCGGCUGAAUUCAUAGGCCGGCUGGAGACAAGCGGGGGAAGUGAAACAUCUCAGUACCCCGAGGAAAGGAAAUCAACAGAGACUCCCUGAGUAGCGGCGAGCGAAAGGGGAUCAGCCCAAACCGGCAUCGUGUAAGUGGUCACACGUUGCGUUGCCGGUGUUGUAGGGCGCCUGUUCCGGAAUGUGACUGUUCCGGCAGGAGUUACCAACUCGUUCGAUAGUCGAAGCGCGUGGAACCGCGCACCAAAGAGGGCAAUCGUCCCGUAGACGAAAUCGAGCGAGCUCCUGUCAGGCGUUCCUGAGUAGAUCGGCACAAGUGAAGGGCCGAUUGAAACCGGGGGGACCACCCCCCAAGGCUAAGUACUCCCAGGUGACCGAUAGCGGACUAGUACCGUGAGGGAAAGGUGAAAAGUACCCCGGAAGGGGAGUGAAAUAGUACCUGAAACCGUGUGCUUACAAGGAGUGGGAGCGGGCUUGUCCCGUGACCGCGUGCUUUUUGCAUAACGAGCCAGCGAGUUGCUCGUAUGCGGCAAGGUUAAGCGAUGAGCGGAGCCGAAGCGAAAGCGAGUCCGAACAGGGCGAUUAAGUCGUAUGCGGCAGACCCGAAACUGAGCGAGCUAUCCAUGGGCAGGCUGAAGCGAGGGUAAGACCUUGUGGAGGGCCGAACCGACCUAGGUUGAAAACUGGGCGGAUGACCUGUGGAUCGGAGUGAAAGGCUAAUCAAGCUCAGUGAUAUCUGGUUCUCUCCGAAAUAUAUUUAGGUAUAGCCUCGGAUAAAUUGCGUUGUGGCCGUAGAGCACUGUUUGGCCUAGGGGGCUCACCAGCUUACCGACGUCAGGCAAACUCCGAAGACCAUCAACGCUUACUCCGGGAGUCAGUUGCUGAGGGAUAAACUUCAGCGUCGAAAGGGAAACAGCCCAGACCGCCGGCUAAGGUCCCAAAGUGUGUACUAAGUGGUAAACGAUGUCCGGAUGCACAGACAACCAGGAGGUUGGCUUAGAGGCAGCCAUUCCUUAAAAGAGUGCGUAACAGCUCACUGGUCAAGUGUCCGGGCGCGGAAAAUUCAACGGGGCUCAAGUACACCACCGAAGCCGCGGGUGCAUUGGAUCUGAGGAUCCAGUGCGCGGUAGGAGAGCGUUCCCAGAGCGUCGAAGCGAUCGUGGAAACGAUCGUGGAGAUCUGGGAAGUGAGAAUGCUGGCAUAAGUAACGAAAGAGGGGUGAGAAUCCCCUCCGCCGAUUGUCCAAGGAUUCCUGAGUAAAGUUCGUCUGCUCAGGGUUAGUCGGGACCUAAGGCGAGGCCGAAAGGCGUAGUCGAUGGAGAACAGGUUGAUAUUCCUGUACCACGUCGCAUCCGUUUUACCGAUGGGGUGACGAGGGAGGCUAAGGGAACCCAGGCGAUGGUUGUCCUGGGGUAAGCAUGUAGGGGUGGACCUAGUGAAAUGCGGGUCCGCAUAACCCGAGGUGCGAUGCCAGCUGGCUUUUGAGCCGGCGAGUCCCCAACGCCAUACCUCCGAGAAAAACCUCUAGGAAGGAAGCGCGUGCCCGUACCAAAACCGACACAGGUGGACAAGUAGAGAAUACUAAGGUGAUCGAGAUAACCCUCGUUAAGGAACUCGGCAAAAUCGCUCCGUAACUUCGGGAGAAGGAGCGCCCCAGUAGGGUGAAACCGCUAGCCGGUGGAGCCCGAGGGGGCCGCAGUGAAUUGGCUGAAGCGACUGUUUACCAAAAACACAGGUCUCUGCUAAGUCGAAAGACGACGUAUAGGGGCUGACGCCUGCCCGGUGCCGGAAGGUUACGUGGAGAUGUCAGGGUUCGCCCGAAGCAUCGAAGCUAAGCCCCGGUAAACGGCGGCCGUAACUAUAACGGUCCUAAGGUAGCGAAAUUCCUUGUCGGGUAAGUUCCGACCUGCACGAAUGGCGUAACGACUUCAGCGCUGUCUCAACGAGGGGCUCGGUGAAAUUCCAGUCUCGGUGAAGAUGCCGAGUACCCGCGGCAAGACGGAAAGACCCCGUGAACCUUUACUACAACCUGGUAUUGGCGUUCGCUAUAUUUCGCUCAGGAUAGGUGGGAGGCUUUGAAGUGCUGGUUGCGGCCAGCAUGGAGCCGAUGGUGAGAUACCACCCUUGGUGUAUUGGACGUCUAACAGCGCACCGUUGAUCCGGGCGCUGAACAGUGCCAGGCGGGUAGUUUGACUGGGGCGGUCGCCUCCUAAAAUGUAACGGAGGCGUGCAAAGGUUCCCUCAGCACGGUCGGAAAUCGUGCGAAGAGUGCAAUGGCAACAAGGGAGCUUGACUGCGAGACUGACAGGUCGAGCAGGUGCGAAAGCAGGUCAUAGUGAUCCGGCGGUAACGAGUGGAAGUGCCGUCGCUCAACGGAUAAAAGGUACUCCGGGGAUAACAGGCUUAUCGGGCCCAAGAGUCCACAUCGACGGCCCGGUUUGGCACCUCGAUGUCGGCUCGUCGCAUCCUGGGGCUGAAGUUGGUCCCAAGGGUUGGGCUGUUCGCCCAUUAAAGCGGCACGCGAGCUGGGUUCAGAACGUCGUGAGACAGUUCGGUCCCUAUCUGCCGUGGGCGCUGGAGAAUUGAGAGGAUUUGCCCCUAGUACGAGAGGACCGGGGUGAACGUUCCUCUGGUGUAGCUGUUGUCCUGCCAAGGGCACCGCAGCUUAGCUACGAACGGAUCGGAUAACCGCUGAAGGCAUCUAAGCGGGAAGCCAACCUCAAGAUGAAUUCUCCCAUCCCUUUAAGGGAGUAAGGACCCUGGUAGACCACCAGGUUGAUAGGCCGGAUCUGGAAGAGCGGUGACGCUUGAAGGAGACCGGUACUAAUUGUCCGAGGGCUUGACGUU
rnacentral:rRNA from 1 species